GAACCGUAACAUUCACCGCGAGAGUCCGCGGCUUCAUUCUUGAAGUCAGUGAGACCAAGAACCCACCAACUUCAGGACACAUCUCUUAAAUGGAGGAAGCAGAACAUGACUCAUCCCUGCCUUCCUGGCAUCCGGAGGGGGUUCCAGGAAAGUUGUGGCAUCCAGUUAGCCGCUUCCACGUGAGUCCCAGUCCUGCUGACAUGCAAGCCUGUCCCCAGUGUCGCUGAGCCAGCUGCUGUUCUCUCCACAUCAGGUACAACUAAUCUUAGGAAUCUCAUUACAGGUCGAGAAAUAAU
rnacentral:lncRNA from 1 species